AGAGUUUGAUCCUGGCUCAGAACGAACGCUGGCGGCGUGCUUAACACAUGCAAGUCGAGUGCGCGUCCCGGUAGCAAUACCGGGAUGGCGCACGGCGCACGGGUGCGUAACACGUGGGCAAUCUGCCCUCCGAUGGGGAAUAACCCCGCGAAAGCGGGGCUAAUACCGCAUAACAUUCCGGGGACUUCGGUUCCUGGAUUCAAAGGCGUAAGUCGUCGGAGGUGGAGCCCGCGCCCGAUUAGCUAGUUGGUGAGGUAACGGCUCACCAAGGCAAUGAUCGGUAGCUGGUCUGAGAGGAUGGCCAGCCACACUGGAACUGAGACACGGUCCAGACUCCUACGGGAGGCAGCAGUGGGGAAUCUUGCGCAAUGGGCGAAAGCCUGACGCAGCGACGCCGCGUGGGGGAUGAAGCAUCUCGGUGUGUAAACCCCUUUCGACUGGGACGAAUGCCUCGCAAGAGGAGUGACGGUACCAGUAGAAGAAGCCCCGGCUAACUACGUGCCAGCAGCCGCGGUAAGACGUAGGGGGCCAGCGUUGUUCGGAAUUACUGGGUGUAAAGGGUUCGUAGGCGGUGUAGCAAGUCGGGAGUGAAAUCUCUGGGCUUAACCCAGAGGCUGCUUCCGAAACUGCUGUGCUGGAGUGUGG
rnacentral:rRNA from 1 species